UUACAAAUUAGUUAAAUCUUCCUCACUAGCAUUCACACAACCUAUACUUAGCUUAUCCAUCCUUUCACGGGUCUUUAAACUUGCUCCUAGCUUUUCACCACUCCACUCCACGUCCAGAGUUUGUUUGGCUCAACACCCUUCGGCCCGCGCCCAAGGGCUACGAAACUUAUAAAAAUUACCCUUUUAUUAAUAUUGAAAAGACUAGGACGUGUACGGUCAAUGCCUAUCAAUCAGCCAGAACAAUCUAGUGCGCCCGAAUGCAACGUUCCAAUAGUUUACUCGGUCCAUUUUAUGUAGCUUAAUUAUAUUGCCUCACUUCAGCGAAGAGAAGUUGGGUAACAAUAAAUAUAUAUGUAAACGAGGCUUUGCAAGUCUUCUUUAACUUCCAGCGGAAUCUUCCCCAGGAAAUUCCAAACCGCCAUAAUCUGUCAACAUACCAUGGCAGAUCAUAACAACCUUUCAGCUGCGAUAACUAAGUUGAUUUUGAACCAAUUUCAAUGAAGGACGGACGCAAAAAGUUUCAAGAAAUAUACCAAGAAAUCAUUCAGAAUGCAGCUCCAAGUUUAGCAUAUAAUCGAUAGCAUCGAGGUACGCAACUCAACUACUUAAACUGGACAAGUAUUUCAAGGAAGGCAACAAUUAUCAAUGCGAAAAUGAAAAGCUCCUAUUACUCGACUAUGUAUUUGAAAUGCUUUCCUACCUUUCUUAUAGCUCUCUACAAAUAUGAAUAACCAGAAAUUGAUAAACUAUAUCUAGACCUUCAAAAGACGGGAAAUUUGCCAUGCAGGUAAAACAGAAACUAUAGGAAAAAGAAGCUAGAAACUACCAAGAGAAUCAUAUAAGAAUACAAAAGCCAAGAAAACAAGAACCCUAAACACAAACUUAUGGGGAAUGAAAACCUGUCAGGAGCCAAACACUAAAUGGAAGAUGCAUCAUAAAAAUACUGAUUUGAGGCAGCCCACCCAAACCCAUCACUAUUGAAGAAUACCAUGACUGCUCCAUCCCUCUGACAAAUAUUGAGGCUUUAAACAAGCAAGACAGCUGCACAAUAGCAAUCCAUGGCCCAACGAACAUUCACAGCAAUUAGCUCCAUAUUCUACUCUCAAGCAACAAAACUUCAGAUAAACCUUAAAUCAAUCCCUACUACUGGGAAUGGUAACAGCUAACAAACAUUGACAAUCCCAUCUGCUACAUUCCGCUUGUCUGAAGCAAGUGGCUUACUUGCCUUAGAGGCAUCUUCUCCAGCUUUUGCAACUGGCCCAUUCUCUGAAUGCUUCAGGUCCCCAUUGGACGGGGCAGUUGAAAUGGAUUCCUGGGCCACAUCACUCACGACCUCCAAUGCAUCGCGUGAUCCAUUUGCUACUUCUUUCUUCUCAUCUUCAAGCUUUCCUUCCAAUACCUGUUUCUGGAACUGCUGU
rnacentral:misc_RNA from 1 species